rnacentral:SRP_RNA from 10 species
AGGAGGAGACUUCAAAAUCACCCUGGCCAGUGGGGCUUUUUAAACAGAGCAAUUACUUGAGCUUGAGAGUUCUGGGCUGCAGUGUGCUAUGCCAGUUGGGUGUCUGCAUCAAUAUGGGGACCCCCCCACCGCCACCAAAAGCAGGGGACCAUCAGGUUGCCUAAGGAGGAGUGAACUGGCCCAGGUCAGAAAUGGAGCUGGUCAAAACUCCUGCACUGAUCAGUAGUGCGAUUGCACCUGUGACUAACCACUGCAUCCCAGCCUGGGCAACAUAGUGAGACCCUGUCUCA